UACAGAGGGGGGCUAGCGUUGUUCGGAAUUACUGGGCGUAAAGGGCGCGUAGGUGGCCUGUUAAGUCGAACGUGAAAAUCCCCCGGGCUCAACCCGGGGAACUGCGUCCGAGACUGGCAGGCUCGAAUCCGGGAGAGGGAUGUGGAAUUCCAGGUGUAGCGGUGAAAUGCGUAGAGAUGCGGCGGAACACCGAUGGCGAAGGCAGCCCCCCCUGGGCUGAGAUUUGACGCUCAGGCACGAAAAGCGUGGGGGAGCAAAACAGG
rnacentral:rRNA from 1 species